rnacentral:tRNA from 1 species
GCGUUCGUGGUGUAACGGUUAGCACAUUCGGCGCGUAUUCGAGAGGUCCAGGUUCGAGUCCUGGAGAGGGCA